rnacentral:misc_RNA from 1 species
UUUCCGUAGGUGAACCCGCGGAAGGAUCAUUACCGAGUGAGGGUCUCUCAGACCCGACGUCCCCCCCUGUAUAUUGGUGACUUUGUUGCUUUGUCUGGUCCGCCUCCAUGAGAGGCAGCCGGCAAGUCGCCGGUUUGAGGCAGUAACCGCCAGUAGCCCCCUUAAAUCCCUAACGAACCUGUUUUAUUAGAUUAGCUAUACUACAAAAAACUUUCAACAACGGUACUCUUAGUUCUGGCAUCGAUGAAGAACUCUGUUGAUCCUAAGAUCACAAAACAA